rnacentral:rRNA from 1 species
GUAGGUGGCAAGCGUUGUCCGGAAUUAUUGGGCGUAAAGCGCGCGGAGGCGGUUCUUUAAGUCUGAUGUGAAAGCCCACGGCUCAACCGUGGAGGGUCAUUGGAAACUGGAGAACUUGAGUACAGAAGAGGAAAGCGGAAUUCCACGUGUAGCGGUGAAAUGCGUAGAGAUGUGGAGGAACACCAGUGGCGAAGGCGGCUUUUCUGGUCUGUAACUGACGCUGAGGCGCGAAAGCGUGGGGAGCAAACAGGGAUUAGAUACCCUGGUAGUCCACGCCGUAAACGAUGAGUGCUAAGUGUUAGGGGGUUUCCGCCCCCUUAGUGCUGCAGCUAACGCAUUAAGCACUCCGCCUGGGGAGUACGGCCGCAAGGCUG